AACCAGCAGCUCUAGUGGUUGUCGCUUUUAUUGGGCUUAAAGCGUUCGUAGUCGGUCUCGUCAGUCCUCUGUGAAAUCCGGCGACUUAAUCGUCGGGCUGGCAGAGGAUACUGCGGGACUAGGAGACGGGAGAGGUCAGGGGUACUCCCUGGGUAGCGGUGAAAUGCUAUAAUCCUGGGAUGACCACCGGUGGCGAAGGCGCCUGACUGGAACGUGCUCGACGAUGAGGGACGAAAGCUAGGGUAGCAAACCGGAUUAGAUACCCGGGUAGUCCUAGCCGUAAACGAUGCAGACUUAGUGUUGCCGGAACUACGCGUUCCGGCAGUGCUGUAGGGAAACCGUUAAGUCUGCCGCCUGGGGAAGUACGGUCGCAAGGCUAGAAAACUUAAAGGAAUUGGGCGGGGGAGCACCACGAAGGGGUGGAGUCUGUCGGUUU
rnacentral:rRNA from 1 species